rnacentral:rRNA from 1 species
UACGUAGGUCCCGAGCGUUGUCCGGAUUUAUUGGGCGUAAAGCGAGCGCAGGUGGUUUAUUAAGUCUGGUGUAAAGGGCAGUGGCUCAACCAUUGUAUGCAUUGGAAACUGGUAGACUUGAGUGCAGGAGAGGAGAGUGGAAUUCCAUGUGUAGCGGUGAAAUGCGUAGAUAUAUGGAGGAACACCGGUGGCGAAAGCGGCUCUCUGGUCUGUAACUGACGCUGAGGUUCGAAAGCGUGGGUAGCAAACAGG